rnacentral:rRNA from 1 species
UACGGAGGGUGCAAGCGUUAUCCGGAUUCACUGGGUUUAAAGGGUGCGUAGGCGGGUUGGUAAGUCAGUGGUGAAAUCUUCAAGCUUAACUUGGAAACUGCCGUUGAUACUAUCAAUCUUGAAUAUUGUGGAGGUAAGCGGAAUAUGCCAUGUAGCGGUGAAAUGCUUAGAUAUGACAUAGAACACCGAUAGCGAAGGCAGCUUGCUACACAGUAAUUGACGCUGAGGCACGAAAGCGUGGGGAUCAAACAGG